rnacentral:rRNA from 1 species
UACGGGGGGGGCAAGCGUUGUUCGGAAUUACUGGGCGUAAAGGGCUCGUAGGCGGCCCUCUCAGUCGGAUGUGAAAUCCCCAGGCUUAACCUGGGAAUGGCAUCCGAUACUGGAGGGCUUGAAUUCGGGAGAGGGAUGCAGAAUUCCAGGUGUAGCGGUGAAAUGCGUAGAUAUCAGGAGGAACACCUGUGGCGAAAGCGGCUCACUGGACCACAACUGACGCUGAGGCGCGAAAGCUAGGGGAGCAAACAGG